UCUUUAGCCUAGCUCCAUCAAAGUGAAAAAAUAAAUCUUACAGCAACUCAGAAGCAGUCUUAUUUAAACAGUGUAUCGUGUGUAUUUGACAUACACGUCUAGGAUUUUUUUUUU